rfam:Ricinus communis cultivar Hale ctg_1100012350328, whole genome shotgun sequence.
GUAUCUAUAGUGUGGGCAUUGCAAUAGAAGUGAUUUGAAGUGAUCUAAUACUUCACGAAAGGACUCAGUAUCAUUUUGAUAAAAAUUAGAAAUUUUGGCUCUAAAUUC